rnacentral:rRNA from 1 species
GACGAACGCUGACGGUGUGCUUUAGGCAUGCAAGUCGAACGAGAAAGCCCUUCGGGGUGAGUAGAGUGGCGAACGGGUGAGUAACACGUGGAUAACCUGUCCCUCGCAGGGGGAGUAACCGGGGGAACCCCGGCUAAUACCCCAUACGUUUCUCAGGGGGCGAUCCCCUGAGAAAGAAAGGUAGCUUCGGCCAUCCGGCGAGGGAGGGGUCCGCGUCCCAUUAGCUAGUUGGUGAGGUGAAGGCUCACCAAGGUGACGANGGGUAGCUGGUCUGAGAGGAUGAUCAGCCACAC